rnacentral:snRNA from 1 species
AUCUGUUCUUAUCAGUUUAAUAUCUGAUACGUCCCCUACCCGGGGACCAUAUAUUAAGUUGAUUUUUGGAGCAGGGAGAUGGAAUAGGGGCUUGCUCCGUCCACUCCACGCAUCGACCUGGUAUUGCAGUAUUUCUAGGAACGGUGC